UCAACUUGUUUUUAUUCAAUAUCAAGUCUAUAUCAUUAUCAAUAAGUUUUCGAUAUUUUCUUGAAAUAUUGAAUUUUCAAUUUAAUAAUUGUGUAGUGUGUAACGCUACGGAGGAAAAUGUUGAUGUAUGAACUACAUUCAAAAUAUGAACUACAUUGGACUACAUUCAAAAUAACCAAUCUGUUGUUUGUUGAGAAACAUCAUGCAAUUGAAAUCAAUUUACCUUGAUGAUACAAUUUCGAUUUUCAAUUUGGUUAAACAAAAAUCACAUGAUCACUAUAAUCUACAGGGCUUAGUUACGUUUUGCAGUAAAAAAUUAAAGGUUGAUAUAUCAACAUGCUU